CACUUAAACAGAAAGAAAUCAUUUAGCAUUUAAUUUCCCCACUAACACUCUCUAAAUCCAGGUCAUGUUCAUCAUGCCGAUGUUGCAGUUGGUAAGAUGAAAUAUCCAAGGUAUUAAGUGACUUUCCCAGCAUCUUGGGGCAACACAGAAAGUUUUGAUUUAUGCCCAAAGUCUUUUUCAGUCUCUAUUGCUUGGAUCACUGAGCUACCCUCCAAUUUUAAUAUUUGAGAAGCUCCAGUUACUUAAACCCAGAACUGGGAAAAGAAAAAAAGAGCAUAUAUGAUUGUGGUCUGUUGCUUUUGGUAGGUCAAUGACAAACUGGAGAAUCUCCUGUUAGUAAAUCCCCUCAAGAAUGAAU
rnacentral:lncRNA from 1 species